UACAGAGGUCUCAAGCGUUGUUCGGAUUCAUUGGGCGUAAAGAGCGUGUAGGCGGCUAGGUAGGUCCGUUGUGAAAACUCGAGGCUCAACCUCGAGACGUCGAUGGAAACCAUCUAGCUAGAGUCCGGAAGAGGAGAGUGGAAUUCCUGGUGUAGCGGUGAAAUGCGCAGAUAUCAGGAAGAACACCCGUGGCGAAGGCGGCUCUCUGGGACGGUACUGACGCUGAGACGCGAAAGCGUGGGGAGCGAACAGG
rnacentral:rRNA from 1 species